rnacentral:lncRNA from 1 species
AUGUCCGCACCACUGACAAUCCAGCCGAUGACCUUACUCGCGGCAAACCCCUGCUCGAACUCAGCCAGCCGAACCGGUGGAGCCAAGGGUCCACCAUUCCUCCUACAACAUCCAGACUCCUGGCCAGUGCUUCCGUUAAUAGAAGCCCAAGAAGCUGACGAGGAAGAACUUCGGAAAACAUUGUUCUGUGGAGCCACCACUUGCUUUCCGACCACGACACUCCAGUCUGAUAUAGACAACUGGGACAGUCUUCUCAAGGCUACCCAUGAGAGCCUUCACGGGGCGGCUGAUGACCAGAGCAGCCCCACCAUGACAGCAGCUGAUGUCCAAACAGCAGAGCUACAUGUCCUCAGACAAGCCCAGAGUGAGUCCUUCCCUGAAGAAGUGGAAGCUCUUGCUGCUGGUAAGUCCAUCUCGAGACUGAGUCGCCUGCUCAUGCUUGCUCCAGAGUAUGAUGAAGCUGUGGGCCUGGUGAGAGUGGGAGGUAGACUACGCAGAGCAGAAGAUCUUGACCCAGAUGCGAUGCAUCCUAUCAUCCUCGAUCCCAAAUCUUAUGUCACGAAGCUGCUCAUUAAGAAAUAUGAUAGUGAACUGCUACAUCCAGGUCCCGAGCGGGUUUUCGCCGAGAUGAGGAGAAGAUAUUGGAUCCUCCGGGGAAGAGAGUCCAUCAAGCAUCAUCAGCACGCCUGUGUUGAAUGUCAGAAAUGGCGCGCUACUCCAGUGGUCCCUCGGAUGGCAGACUUACCCCCUGCCAGACUCCGCUUAUACAAGCCACCUUUCUGGUCGACUGGAGUCGAUUGUUUCGGUCCCUACAAUGUCAAGGUGGGCCGGCGUACAGAAAAGCGGUGGGGUCUGAUUUUCAAGUGCAUGACGACGAGCUGUGUACAUCUUGACCUACUGGAGAGUAUAGACACUGAUGCUUUCCUGAUGUCCCUCCGCCGCUUCAUCGCCCGCCGCGGAAAGCCAUUUGAGAUCCUGGCUGACAGAGGAACCAACUUCCGAGGUGGAGCUGCAGAGCUGCAAGCCAGUUUUGCUGCUUUAGAAAUUCCUCUUCAAGAACAGCUGGCCAGACAGCAAAUCGAGUUCCGUUUUAACCCUCCUGGCUCUCCACACUUUGGGGGAACGUGGGAACGAGAGAUCAAGUCGAUUAAGUCAGCUCUCCAAGUCAUCCUUCAGGACCACACCGUCGCUGAACCUGUGCUGCAAACUGUGCUGAUUGAAGUGGAAGGAAUACUCAAUGCUAAACCGCUUGGGUACCUCUCCUCUGAUGCUGCGGAUCCGGAUCCCGUCACACCAAAUCUACUGUUGAUGGGACGCCGCGAUGCAUCACUCCCACAAGCUGUCUAUGCAUCUAGUGACCUUCUCAGCAGAAGAAGAUGGCGCCACAGCCAGAUCCUGGCGGACCAUUUCUGGUCCAACUUUAUCCGUCGCCAUCUCCCGGACCUACAGAAGCGGUCGAAGUGGCACAAGGACACUGACAAUCUGGUUGCUGGCCAGGUGGUGAUGGUGGUUGAUUCGCAGCUACCCAGAGCUCAGUGGCCCAUUGGGAGAGUGGUGAAGACCUGUUCCGGUUCGGAUGGACGAGUCAGGGCAGCUGAAGUUAAGAUCAAGGGACAGACCUACCUACGGCCAGUCGUGCGCCUUGUGCGGCUGUCAGCCUGGGAGGAUGAAGAUGACGCCAACUAA